rnacentral:lncRNA from 1 species
CUAGAAGUGAUGUGCAGUGAAUCACAAUCAGACCUUCGUGAUUUCCAGUGGCUCAAACGUGUUUUCAGCCUUUCUGGGCAAUGCACAGGCUGUGCAAAAAGCAGUUUCUGACAGCAUUAACGCACCAAGAUGUGACACACGGGCUGGGGAUGAACGCUGAAGGAGAUUCAUACUUUGACGCUGGAAAGAUUGAAUCCAAACUCACACCAAAAUGUGCUAAAGAACUUGUCGGAAAAGAUGUCGUUUGCAAGGGAAGACACGUAGGCCUGUGGCAUGAACUGAACAGCACGGUAGUUCAAGACUGUUUAGCGGUAUUGGUUUGACUUGAAACGUGAACCUGAGGGACAUUCAACAGUAGAGGUUUCCUAUGGCAAUCAUCAGAAUGAUGAAUUGACGAUGGAGAAUGCGCAGAGAGGAAGAGUUUUCUUCUAUGGAACGAAUGC